UGUAGUAAAGUUACCUCGACGUCAGAUGUUCCUUAGCUUUUUCAUUUCCACCUUUUACAGCUUGUAAACAAGUGAAAGCACGCUGUGAUUUACUGCAAGACAAAGAACAAUUUAGAAAUUGGUUUCUGUGCCUUCUUGGCUGCCUAUGACAACAUUAAUUACAACACUUCACUGCAAGAAAAAGCACCUUUGGAACAUCACAUACUGAUGAUGUAUAACAAAGGAGAUUGUCCUUGAAGUUUGUGCAAAAUGUGCUUUAAAACCAUCUUCUAUAACUUCAUUUUUCAAUGCGGGGAGACAGGAGUCAAACAUCUUGUAGAAGAAUGAAAACAAACGACUUCAUAAACUGCUGACAGCUGGAUUUUCAGUACUAUCAGCAGACACUUUUCCUCAUCAAAACAUGGAGCUUCUUCUUAAUAAAUUAGAGAAACACUCUCACAACAAUGUACACAAUUAAUACAUAUCGCCAGACAUUACGAGAAAAUAAUUAUUCCUAAGUGGGACUGAAGGAGAAAUUGAUAGAGCAACAUAAAAACCAUGUUAUGUCAGUGGAGCCAAAAAUGAGCUGCAACGAGAAGGAAAGCGAAAGAACUGAAAAGGCAUCCACCUCAUUUUUCAAUCCUCAACCUUGAAGGAAAGGAUGAAUGCUGAGACCUUCGACUCGGUGCAUGUGACUGAAAGCUGUUAUGAAACCUUCUGCCAGAGGAAUAAAAUCCAUCAAAGUCAUAAUUUCCAGAAAAUUAAUGGAAAAUGUUAUUGAUGUUGUUGCACUAUUAGCUAGGGUUGUCAUGCCGAUGAGGAGCCACUACUGUUGAGCAAGAUAAAAAAAGAAAGAAAGAAACAGAACAAUUAUACAAACGGUAAAGAAGUUUACACACACUGCUUUCACUAAUAUUUUCAAGGGGCUUCAUGUCCCAGAGAUUUCACACCUCCUCACAAGAUGGCCAGCCUCGUAGGGAGGACGAGGAGGAGGAAGAGGAAGCUGCACUCUUCCUCCUUUCGGUAGCGCCGAGGCGAGGAGCAGAUGGUGUGAGAGAUUGGAAACAUCGUCUGGAGUCGGCCAACCCUGGGCUAAUGGCAAGCUGUGCUGGCAGCGCUGCGUGAGUGUGUGUGAGGGGUUGGAAUUGUCUUACUGUGCAUAGCUGGCUUGCUAAAGUUCAUUACUGGAUGUGUGUGAACAUGUGUGAAGUGUGUAAAUUAAAGUUAAAGUUCUUAUAUUUUUUUUUGCGUGUGAAAAGCUUUCAAAAGUUCACUUUUGUUUGUAUGUUUGUGCCACUAAUGAAGAGAUAAACAGGGAUGUGAGGCGGAGAGUUUAAGUGUCAUUAUUUUUGCAAGCCCAUUCAGAA